rnacentral:lncRNA from 10 species
GCGGGGUUGGAGGAGCUCAGAGCACUGGCCCAGCGCUGCCCCCAACUUGCUGUGUGCUCUUGGACAAGUUAUCUCCCUUCUCUGGGCUUCAGAUAACCCAAGGAUCCUUACAUAUCUUUAUAGCUACAAAGCCCUGUGAGGUUUUGAAAAACUUCCUUGGUACCCAAAACCAGGUCUGAGGCACAGUCAGUGAAUACCUGUUUAAUGAAUGCAUGCAUAAAUGAAUGAAUGGAUGAUCCAGCUCUUCCUGGAGCAGGCACGACUUCCACAGAAACAGAGCAAACGCUAGCCGUAAGCAGAAGUGAGUCUUCUUCCUAUGUGAAGGGAUGUGGGGGUGGUACGCCCCUAUCAACUUUAUCUUUACAUAGUCCUUGAGCGCCCACCGGGCACCGUGUUCCCCGGACUAGAGGGAGGGAGAGGGGGGUUAGCUCCACCCUUAACAAGCUUAAUUCUUGAUGAGAUUAACCAUCAAAACCCAUCAGAGAACGUUAUAGCUCCAGCGCUGAAUGAGACAUCUUUGAUUCUGUGGUGAUGCGGACUUUGUGCCUCUCUGUGAGGAAUCACUUUGUUCCAAUGACGCAAUUUUCCUCACACUCCGGAAGUGUCCUGCACUGCCAGAAUCGCCCAGCUUCCCGGCACACCUAUCAACCAGUCGUUCCCAGCACUGCCCAGUAUGCAGCCUCCAGGCAGAGGGCCUGGAUGUCUUGGCAGGUGUUUCCGAAAAAUCCAAUCCACCCUCCAAGGUGGAAAGUGUGCCAUCUCUGCCCAUAAUCCAAAUGGCGUGCCUGAGGCAUAGAAAGCAGCUUUCAGGGAGGCCUUCCUUCCUCUGAGCAAUGGUGGCAUCAUCAGAAAAGUGGAGCUCCUCCAAAAGGAUCUGCUGGAAGCAGAGGACGCCCAUGUGGAGCAGCAUGCGGAGGGCCCUUGCACAACCUGGGUCUUCAGGAAGUUCCUUGCCCAGGUGUUGGCCCAGCUCUCUUCAUGGUUCCAAGAAGGCUGCCCCAGGAAGGCUUGUGGACAGAGGGAGAAGCAUCUCUUCCUCUAUGUCUCUUUUUAUCUAAGAAACCAGUUUGACCAGCAUCCUUCCCCUCGGCUCCCCAGGAGGAAUGCACGGAUCCCUUCGCCUUCCCCCAUCCCUCCAUGGUUGACUAAACCCACUAGGAUCCACUCUUUUGCGUGGAAAUGGGUUCAGGCCUCCCACGAAGAGCAUGAAGAUGCCCUCUGUUAUGGGUUACAUUAUGUCCCCUGCCCCCGAGACCGUAUGUUGAGUCCUAACCCUAGUAUUGCAGAACGUGAAUUUAUUAGGAGAUAGGGUCUUUAUGGAGGUCAUUAAGUUAAAUGAGGGUGUUAGGGUGGGCUGGUGUCCUGAUAUAAAGGGGAAAUUUGGGGCUGGGUGUAGUGGCUCACACAUAUAAUCCCAGUGCCUCGAGAGGCCAAGGCAGGAGGAUUGCUUGAGGGCAGGAGUUCAAGACCAGCUUGGGUAACAUAGGGAGACCGGUAUCUAUAAAAAAAAUUAAAAACAAAAAAAUUAGCCGAGUGUGGUGGUGCAUGCCUGUAGUCCCAGCUACUCAGGAGGCUGAGGUGGGAGGAUCGCUUGAGUCCAGGAAUUUGAGGCUGCAGUGAGCCAUAAAAAGAUGGGGGACGAUGGAGACGCACAGGGAAAACACCUUGUGAAUGCGGCAGAGAUAAGGGUGAUGCCUCUACACACCGAGGAACUUCAGAGACAACCAGUAAGUCACUGGGAGCUCGGGGAAGGCACAGCGCAGAUGCUCGCUGCCCUCAGAGGGAAGCCAGCCCGCCAACCCCUUGAUCUCAGACCUCUGGCCCCUGGAACUGUGAGAUGAUAGAUUUCUGUCGUUUAAGCACAGUGGUGCUGUGUUAUAGCAGCCCUAGGGAACCAUCCACUAUCAGAACAAAAGCAGGGCUGGACUGCUAGAAGAAAGGAGAGGAGAAUGGCAGAGGAUACCCACCUUGGGGCUGAAUCUGAGAUCACUCCAGGGCUCCCCAGGUUGUUUUGAAGAAUGGAGAUGGAUUUGUGCAGGGCUCACUGUAGAAGCUCAGUGCAGCAUGCGACGCUUAUAAGGCUGCAAUCCCCAGAGCUCAGUCCCUGAAGAGCGCUGCAUUCACAGACAUCAGCCAGCAGACAAACCAGUACCUAUUGUCCCUGACCCCCAGAAUCCAGCAGACAUAUAAAAGAUGGUUGUUAACCCCACUAAGUUUUGGGGUAAUUUGUUAUGCAGCCAUGCAACUGAAAGAAGCAGCUACAAUAUUUUUAUAAUGAAAUUCUUAGCCAGGACCCUCAUAGCCUAGCAAGAAGUUCUGUCUGGAAGAGCCCAGCUUUGGGGUUGGGUAUGUCUGGGUUUUAAUAUGUCAAGAGGGCAGGCCCUGGAGACGGAGCACAUGGAUUUGAAUCCCAGCCUCUCAUAGGCAGGUUAAUUAAUUUCCCUGAAUCUCAGUUUCUUCAUCUCUCAAUGGAGAAAAUAAUAGAAGCCACCUCACGGGAAUUAAAUGAGAUUAUUUACGCACAGCACCAAGGCUGUGGCUACUGUAUUUGACCCCUGAAACAGUUAAUUUUUCUUGACAUCCCUUCCUUGGUAUAUGUAUUAGUCAGGGUUCUCUAGAGGGACAGAACUAAUAGGAUAUCUCUCUCUCUAUAGAUUUAUAUAAAGGGGAGUUUAUUAAGUAUUAACUUACACAAUCACAAGGUCCUGCAAUAGGUCGUCUGCAGGCUGAGGAGCAAGGAGAGCCAGUUCAAGUCCCAAAACUGAAGAACUUGGAGUCUGAUGUUCGAGUCCAGGAAGCAUCCAGCACAGGAGAAAGAUGGAAGCUGGGAGGCCAGGCCUGACUCUCCUUUUCAUGUUUUUCUGCCUGCUUUAUAUCCGCUGGCAGCUGAUUAGGUGGUGCCCACCAGAUUAAGGGUGGAUCUGCCUUCCCCAGCCCACUGACUCAAAUGUUAAUCUCUUUUGGCAACACCCUCACAGACACACCCAGGAUCAAUACUGUCAGUUCAAUCAAGUUGACACUCAGUAUGAACCAUCGCAAUACAAUAGGAUUACUUUCUGUGAUAACCUGUGUAAAAAUAGGCAGUCAUGAUUUUCCUGUUGUGUUCUUCAGGUGUAAAACAAAAAAUUUUAAAAGAAGAAACUUCAAUUUUAAAGAUAUUAUUCAAACUAAGUUAAACAUUUUGUGUAUAAAUUAAAACAAUAAAUUUUGUUUGCAUGUAUCAAACAAAAAUAUUCCAUCUUGCAGUUAACAUUUUCACUGUUUAAAUUUUCAACACCAAAAUCCCAUGUGUAAUGAUGGAAUUUAACUGGUUAAAUGCUGCCUCUUUGCCUUCACAAUCACAGUGGUACUGUUUCUUGCAAAUGUCAUGAGAGUUGGAGAUAUGUCUUGCUCCUGUUUUGGGCGCAAAGGUGAGGUGGUCAGUUGUUGGUCUGGGACUUUCAGUGCUAAAAUCAGAAAAGUCCUGGGUGAACCGGAACAAGUUGGCCCGCCAGCUGAAGGACUGAAAAAACUUUGGACACUUUCCCAAUGAACACGUAGCCAAAUCUGUGUGAAUCAGAGGCCAGCUGUGGAACCAGGAGUUCUCUGAAUUAAUUUAGGUGCGGAAUAUGUUUAUGAAAGGACAACUAAUAAAAACCUGAAGUUCACAU